GACGAACGCUGGCGGCGUGCUUAACACAUGCAAGUCGAACGGAAAGGCCCUGCUUUUGUGGGGUGCUCGAGUGGCGAACGGGUGAGUAACACGUGAGUAACCUGCCCUUGACUUUGGGAUAACUUCAGGAAACUGGGGCUAAUACCGGAUAGGAGCUCCUGCUGCAUGGUGGGGGUUGGAAAGUUUCGGCGGUUGGGGAUGGACUCGCGGCUUAUCAGCUUGUUGGUGGGGUAGUGGCUUACCAAGGCUUUGACGGGUAGCCGGCCUGAGAGGGUGACCGGCGACAUUGGGACUGAGAUACGGCCCAGACUCCUACGGGGGGCAGCAGUGGGGAAUAUUGCACAAUGGGCGGAAGCCUGAUGCAGCAACGCCGCGUGCGGGAUGACGGCCUUCGGGUUGUAAACCGCUUUCGCCUGUGACGAAGCGUGAGUGACGGUAAUGGGUAAAGAAGCACCGGCUAACUACGUG
rnacentral:rRNA from 1 species